AGACUCUCGAGCGCCGGCCCCAGGAUGACAAUCACAUCCCAGGAGCGCCGAUCUCUUCCAACUUUCCUCUUCUGCUAACUCGGGGCGGAGUGGCAGUCCCGCCGCCCCGAAGCACAAAGGGAACGAGGCCGCGGGCUGUGCGCCGGCGAACGCUCUGCGCUCUCCUAGCCACAGUAGAUCGCGGACUUAGCGGAUUUCUUGUUCUCCGGCAGGCUGGGCUCCGAGGCCAUUCGUUGCCCACCCCCCUCUGGCGUCUUCCCCAAGCCAGGGGGCCCGGAGAGCCAGCUGGAGAUCCGGAAUGAAAGUCUCUGGGAGAGCCGAUGGAUGGCCCGCGCCCAGGGCGCAGGAAGUCCGGGAUGACUGCCCCUCUGCGCCGGCAGCAGCAGGUGGGCGAGAGACAGGCCUCAGACGUCUGCACGUCUCCGCCUCGCCUUCCUUCUACCGACCCCCCGCCGGACGGCGAGGGAGAAGACACUGGUUCCUGGAACUACCGGGGUAGCCUUUUUCUAGAGUAGGGGUGGUGGGCAAGAACUGCCAGACAGAGAAUCAGCUACACCCGAGGAGAUCUCGGGACCGUCCCCAGCUCCACUCCCACGCCUCGCAGCCUCUUUCUCCCGGUUUUCCCACCGCACGCAGCUCGCACCGCCAAGUCGGUGGUGGUGGAGGGUGCGGGUCCCCUUCCCUUUUGUUUAACUAAGUCGCCUUCCCCUUCGCACGCACUCUCGCAUCCGCCCACGCUCCACUGCAAACACUGGGCAGAGCAGUGCCCAACCCAACCACUGUUUGUUCAGCGAGGCGCUGGCGAAGCAAACACACACAACUGAGUCAGAGGCAGAGCCCUUGCCCACGACGGCCACACAGUUAGAAUACAAAACAGACCCUCUCCUCUUCUCUCCACCUCCCGCCACCACAAGCCACGGACGCACUCGAACUCUGGGACAGACAGGGGCGCUGGUGAACCAGGACAGAAGAUGGCACAGGUUUGGGCACGCCGCGGAAGCUCGGGAUAUCGGGAACUUCGCAUAAUGGGGCCACACGCAAGCCGAAGCAUAACUAUAUACAAAGUUUCUCGCAUUGACUUUGACGGGCGAGAUGUACUUUAUUUCGCGAUCUCACACUAACCCAGCGCCGCACCGGCACCCGCUCGGUGCUGCGCUCUCGUGCACGCGCGUUGGCUCCUCCCCUCCGUCUGCUCCCCUCCCCCAGACACCGCCCACCAAGAGGCCUGAGCGGUUCAGACUACAUUCUCCGAGAGCCCCUGGGUCCGCCCAGCCCAGUGCCUGACACCUCCUUCACCUAUGAUUGGGCGCUGGCCUCCCUGGGCUCCGCCCCCUGGUGACGUAACCCCGCUUUCCUCCGAGUCUCGGCGCCAGAGGGGCGGGGAGGGGCGGGGUCUCGAUCGCGCUAUUGUCAUGGAGACGGGAAGCUGGCUGCAGCGGCGGCGGGGACCGUGGGGCCGAGGUGGCUGCCAGCCGGCCAAUGUCUAAGCGAGGCGGAGCGGCCCAGGCGGCCCGAGCCUGGGGGAGCGCGCAGCCGGCCAGUGGCGGCCUCGCCGGCGGCCUCUUCCCGGGCUCGCAGUAGGCCCGAGUCGUCGCCGGGAGCUCCUGGGAGCAGCGUCCCCGCCCUGCUCCCCUCGCUCCCGCCUCUUGCGGCCCCACGGCCCCUCAGCGCCCGCCCCCGGCUCCGCCCGCCGCAGCCGCAGCCCCUGGCGCUAACGGUCGGUAACGGCCCGCGCGCGCCGCCCGCCGGGGGCUCGCGCCAGCCACGAGGGAGCGUCCGCGGCCCGCGCGCCCGCGCGGCGGAGGAGAGGUGUUAAGUGUGAUGCUUCCAUAAUACAUUUGGAUGCUGUCAGCUAAGUUCACUUCUGAACUAAGGGGUUCCUCCAAAUGUUGGCUGAAAUUCAUCCCAAGGCUGGUCUGCAGAGUCUGCAAUUCAUAAUGGAGCUACUGUACUGGCUAUUGGAAGGAGGAGAUUCUGAAGAUAAGGAGGUAAUAUUAUCUCUUUUAAAAGAAUACUUUCCUCUGUAAUCCUGAAUCUUUAUUACAUGUAAGAACUUUGUGCAGUAGACAGCAAUUUCUUUGAAUUUGGUAUAUGGAAACAAUUUUAUUUUCCUCUGCUAAGUUUUUGAGCCUGCCUCUUCUAGUGCCAUGGACUGCAUUGGUAGAGCUGAGAAAUAUCAUUUAGCCAUACUCAGCACCCUUAAAAUAGCUUCUUUCUGAGAAUUAGAUCUGUGAAGGUGUCCUGCACAGUUCUUGUAGAUGUCAUUUUAGUUUGUGGUUGACGUGCAUGCAUUUAGCAUGUUGCUUAACCGUCCUCAUUCGCCUCCCAGUUCUUUGUUGCCUUCAUUUGGGGGGAUGUGUUUUCUGCUGGAUGAUUUACUGCUAGACAUGACCAAACUCUGAGUAUAAGACUUGGUGUUUGGCAGCUGGUUCCAGUGCUCUGCUGAGAAGUAGUUGGGCCCAGCCUGGGGCAUUGUAGUGUCCUGGAGGCCGGGAGCUCCUGCACAGGGGUUCUUUUCCUGGUUCAGAGCCUUAGGUGCCUUUCCACUUUUCACGUAAUCUUUUCCUAGGUUGGCUUGCUGCUUACUUUGCAGCUGUUGCAGGGAUUCACAUGGAAUGGAGGGCUCCCUUUUAUUGUGGAUUAUUUCUUUGAUAAUUUACCCAUGUGCUUUUUCAUUUUCAAAAACCCAGUGGUGUUUAAGAAUGAAAGAUUCUUGAAGAACAAAAAUUGGGUUAAAUUUGUAUCUAUCAGAAAAGAUUCUAUCCUCUGAUGCUAUGUAGGCACAUUGAAUAUGCAGGCUAAAUUAAAAACAGAGUAAAACCUUUUUAUAAUAUGCCAAUUACUAUAUCUAAGAAUGUUUAUACAGGCUGAAAUUUUGUAAUGGUAUUUAUAUCUGUUUUCCUUUUUAAGGAAAAUAAUAUACUUUUCUAGGCAUCAAAAAUAUCUGCCCCUUUCACUAAUGCUGAUGUACCACCUUCCCCCAACCCCCAACGCUAAAUUUGACUGGCUUAAAAACAUCUGCCCCCUGAACUAUAUCUGGGGAGGAAUAUUAAUAAAACAAUGAAGGACUUCAUGGUGUCUAGUUAUAUAAUUAGGAAAUUGGUUAGAAACGUGGCUAAAACCAGUUUCUUUCAUUAAAAGAACUAGUGUACAUUUAAAAACAAAAACCUUCAGGAAAAAGACUCUUUGAUCUUUAAGUCAAAUAGUAUUUUUGGUUAACACAGCAGGAAGGGGAAAUAUACCAAUUUCAGAUUCUUUUAUUUAUGCCUAAGUAGAGGUUGUAAGCAGCUAAGGAAGUGAUUAAAAUGUAGUCUAGUAAAAAAUGGUGCUGAUUACUUGGAAAGCAGUUUACAUUUGCAAAAAAAUUCAGUAUUAUGACCUUCACCAACUUUUACACAUCAUAUACUUGGGUUAUUACUUAUGGUAUAGCUUGUGUAUGGAAUGCAAGGGUAUUUUCAAAUUGACUAGGUCUUGCUGGUCAUCUUAAAAUAUGUUACAAUAUUACAAAAUUGAAAUGUAAUAUUUUUUAAUAGAAGGAAAAUAUAAAUUUAAUAUCUGGGCAAUUGAGACCUUUAAACUUACUUUAAAAGUAUGAUCUUGAUGUAUAUGAUACUGUUUUGUCUUUGCUAUAUUAACAGAAUUAGAGGGGUGUUCUGCAAUUCAAAUACCUUAUAUAUUCCAAAUUUUAUUCUCUAUAAUGGACUUUUAAAAUAAAAGGUAUAUGUGCUUCAAGAGGGCAAAAUUUGAAUCAUGAGCUAAUUUGCUAAGCAUCAGAUUAUAGAAAAGCAUCCUUGAUUAAUUUGGAACUGUGAAAGGGGGCGGGUAAAACUGUUUUCUGCAGAAAUUUACUAGUGCAGCAACCAUUUAAAUUAAAUGUUUGUUAACAUAAUAGUGAUGGCAUUUUCUCCUCCCCCUCCUUGUGGUUUUGUCCAACUAGAUGUUACAGUGGCAGUUGCACUGACUGUUAAGUGUUUAAAUGAUGACACCAUUAUGUGAAGUGAUUUUGAAAUGAGAGAUUCCAGCCAAGAAUUACAUCUGCUCCCAUCUCCUUCAAAUCAUACUCUCUGGCAGUACAGAUUAUGAUUGAUUUGUUUGUGACAGAUUGCAGGAAACAGUCAUUGAUUUUUCAAUAUUUUACCUUAAAAUUAUUUACAGUUGUAACCAUGGGGAGGUAUUUUCAUGGGCUGUCAGCCCCUGAAAGACUAGGAUAAUAUUCCCUGCUCUCUGACAAGACAAAUUACCUGUAAUGAGUGCAGUAGCUGAAGGGUAUACUUUUAUUUUAAAAUAUGUCAAUAACCCCAGUGACUAAACGAAUAUUGAUUUAGCAUAAUGAAGCCUGAGUAACGUGAAAAUGAGCUUUUUCAAGGGGCAUGGUAAAGUCUUUCUUUUUAGCUGGUUGUAAGAAGCUUUUGAUUCUUUUCAGCCAGCUGGUAGGAAUAUAGAAUUUUAUAAGCAAACCAUCAGGAAUGAUAGUGUUGUUUCUGAUAAGCAACAUCCAAAUAUUUUGACCCUGCUUUUAGUGGUUUUUUUCAAAUCUUAUUUUGAGUCUUACUUUUAGUCAUAGAAUAGCUACUGAUUUGAUGCGGUCUUUAACUGACUUAAUAUUUUUACAAUUUCAAUAUAUUUUGCAUUGGAAUCUCCAGUAAUGAAUAUUAAAAUAUAUGUACAAUCAUUUGUAGAUGAUAUCAAUUAUAUUAAGACAUUUCAGAUGGGCUAUUGUAGUAUUUAAUGUGCCGUAUUUUAUGGUAGAAUAAUUCUCAGUCUCUGGACAUCAAGAUUGCUUUCAGUGGGAAUGAAGAUUAAUUUACUUCAGUCCUGAUUUUUUAGGCAUCAAUGCAUGUUUUCAUUUUUGUCAGACUUUUACCCUCUUUUAAUGUAAUUCUCAACUUCUUAUGGAUUUACUUCCCAAUACAUAAAAUCCUUCAAAACAAGAAUGAUAAUAAUUUUUAUACUUUUUAUAAAAAUAAAUUUAUUUUUAGUCCAUCAAGGUGUCUGAAGAUUUUAUGCCUAGGUAUCUCCAUAUCUAACUUGAUAAGGAAAAUAGGAUAAACAAUGCUGGUAAUAGCAGGAAAGUAAGUAUUUGAAUAAGAUGUCAAACUGAUAUUUCAUGUGAACCUAACUCAUUUUAUGGUAACUAAUAAUUAUCUUAUUUAAAUCAAUAGGUAAAACCUGUUUAGAAAUUAAAAAUGAGUUACGAUUUAAAGAAAAUUCAGAUGACUCAUUGUGAGUGCUAGUUCUCUUGUAGGAUGCCACUGGAAAUGUUGAAAUGAAAAAUGUAAGUAUAUCUUUUGGUGGAAAAAAGGAUAGUCUCUAGGACACAAAAUUACUGUUUUAUUUUUUUCUCAGGAGUUUGCCUAAGGGUGUGACAGAUGAUCUCUGUCACUUGUCUUAGUUGUGUCCUGCAAUAAACUGGAUGCUUUAUAAAAUACUAGACCUGUGAUUUCGUAUGCUGUAAUAUUUCAUUUCUCCAUCACCCCUCCAAAUUAUUUCUUAGUUUGGAGUAAAAUAAUAAAUGUAUUAUAGUCAACAUCUCUUGACCCCUCUUUAGUUUCAGCUAAACUAAGCAUGUGUGUUUGUGUGUUCAUUUUAUAGUUCAUGUGUAGAACUAUGUGAAUUAAAUUUAAGAAACAUGUAAAGUAGAGGAAAUAGUUUUCUGGAGAAAUUUUUCCUUUUUGGAUAUUAUGCCCUUUUCCAUUGCUUUUCUCUGCUUGAAAGCAAAAAAAAGUACCCUACCCCUGUUCUCCUUUAGGGAAAAACUAUUCCUAUAAAGUAUUUUUAAAUCGUGCAAGUCAUUGCCUAGGGUUAGCUAAAACAUUUCUUUUUAAAAAGGAGAAAAUGCCCUGGCUUUAACAUUUUCUUGUAUUUGUAUCUAUUAAGAUAAACAGUUUACUUUGAUACAGUACAUACCAAUCUACUUAAUUUUUUUUCCAGGAUUCCUUUUACUAUGUUUGGUCUGACCUUUUAUGAUAACUUAAUAUGGGAACAAAUUAGCAUAUAAUUCUAUUUUCCAUGUGACCUCAACCAGUUGCAGAAUUGUACCACUACUUUAGGGGGGGCAAUUUGACAGUUUAUGUAGACUAUAGCAUUAAUUGUUCCCAAAUGUUCAGUGCAUCCUGGCUAAUGUGUUAUUGAAGGUGUUUUCACGUAAGCAGUUAGAGGAAGCACUUCACCCCUAUUACUAAGUUAUUAAAAUGCCUCCUAAAGGUAGCAUUUUAAAUUAGUAUACAUAAUUGAUUAGUAAUUUGUCUUCUCCCAAGCAUAAAACAGCAUAGCAGAGUUAAGUGUGACCAGUGAAGUAUAAGAUAUUAGGGAUUGAUGGUGACAAUGAUCAUAGCAACUAAAUGGAUUUUUUUUUUCUUUUAGAUUCAGCCGUUGGUCUUUGAAAUUUCCUGUGAUGUGUUUCAAUCUAGAUGCAAAGAACAUGGAAAAAUCAAAGUGCUCGAGUGGUUUAAAUAUGUUUUGGGUAUUCCUGUUUAUAGACUAUAAUACUUUUCCAAUUAAAAUCCUCAGUUGUCACGCAGAAGAAGGUUAAGCUGUAUUUGAUUGCCAGUUUUACUGAAAAUGCUUAGUAUUUUACAGUAUCACCAAAUAUAUUUUGUUUAGCCAAGGUAUAGGAAAAAUAAAAUAAAUUGUAUAGGUUGACUUUUUUCUAAAAUGUCUUUAUUGGAUUGAAUGAAUGUUUAUACCUGAAAAAAAAAGGUUCAAAAAAAUUCCUUUUUCUAUCAGAGUCAUUCUUUUGACAAUCAGAUAUUAGACUAGGUUUAAAAUAACUUUCUAAUAUGACUCAUAUUUAUGGGAGGAAAAAGACUUGAAAGAUAUUCCUAUGUGUACUUUAAUUUUCUGUAAUAGUCCCUCUGGAAUAGAAUAUCUCUUCCUCAAACAAAUCUAUUGGCUCAUUUCAUAUACAAGAAAAAGUUGCCCUAAAUGGCAGAGUUUCAUCUCUGUAAAGAAGGCUGACAUCCACUUCCUUCACAGAAUCCCUGCAUUUGGGUAAUUGAGUAAUGAUAGAUUACCUUGCCAUUGGGAAAUACCUUGUUGUGGCCUUUGUAGCAGCUAUAGGAAGAUGGAAGAAUUCUUUUGUAUAGACAGGUCUCUAGCCUCUUUGGUGUGGACACUGUGAAGGGGUACAUCUGGUGAGAAGGAGUGCUUAGGGAAGGAACUGGGAAGGUCCACAAAGGCUGAUGAUGACAAAGAAUCCAAGGGCUAUGAUGAAUUCUUAAGCUUAGAUCUCAGAGUCAUAAAGUAAAUUUAUUAGGCUAGAGAGAUUUCCUUUUUUAUUUUUGAUCAAACUUUAUUUUUUCAGAUUGUUAAGUUCACAUGCAGUUGUACAAAAUAAUACAGAGAUCUUUGAACACUACCCAGUUUCUCCUAAUAGUAACUUCUUGCAAUAUACUGUAUAGCACAGCAUCACAACCUGGAUACUGACAUUGAUGCAGUCAAGACAGAGAACAUUUAUAUCAUGAGGAGGAUCCCUCAUUACCGCCCUUUGAUAUCCACCCCUACUUCCAGACCAUCUCACUCCUCCCUUAACCCUGGCAACCACUAGCAUGUUCUCCAUUUCUAUAAAUUUGCCUUUAUAGGAAUGUUAUAUAAUUGCAAUUAAAGUGUGUAACCUUUUGGGGUUUGACUCACCCGGCAUCAUUUUCUGGAGAUUCAGCUUAUAUGUGUCAAUAGUUUGUUCCCUUUUUUUUAGUUCAGUAGUAUUCUGUGGUACGUGUGUACCACAUCACUCAUCAAUUCGGACUUCUGGGUUGUAUCUGGUAUUUGAUUAUUACAAAUAGAAGUACUAUAUAUAUAUUCGUGUAGAGGUUUCUGUGUGAACAUAAACUUUCAUUUUCCUGGGACAGAUGCCCACGAGUGAAAAUUGUGAGUCAUAUGGUAAUUAUGUAGAGUAUUUUUUUUUUGAGACGAUUUGUUUAUGAUUUUAAAACAUAAAAAUAUAAGUUGUAGCCAAAUAUAAGGAAGGAUUUUUCCACAAUCUAGACUUUAUUCUUAUUUUAGAGAAAUACUUUUGAAAAAAUUGCUUUAUUGGCAAACAAUUCCUAUGUAAAGGAAUAAAAGACGCAUAUACUCUAGGAAAGAUGUUGCAAAGCUGACAGGCAACUUUGAGAAAGAUGAGGGCAGUUUUCCAGUGUUACUGGAGACUUGACAUUCAAGGAUGUAUUAUGAUAGUUUCUGAAUUGAUAGAUUCUUUAGCGUUUGUCACUACCCUCAGGCCUGCAGUUUUUAUUUGUAGAAUUAACUCAUCUUUACAAUGCUUUGUUGAGUGCUGUUGCAGAAAAUGCUCAUGUAAUUCAAUUAUAUGCAGUUAGGAAAAAGAAGUAUCUUUUUCUAGUACAUGGCCCCUAAAAUGAUGACUUUCCACAAUGCUGAAUGGAGGAAACAGCUCUGUUUCCAUCAAACUCUGGUGGAAAUUAUACAAAGUUAUAUUAUGCUUUAUGAGACAUAGUGAGGUAGUACACAACCAUAUAUGCUAUAUUAUUGGGGAGACCCACUGAAAGAAUUUUCAAGGAUAAUUUUUGCUCUGAUUUUCUAUCAUGUAUAUUGACUUUAUUGAUUGAUUGAUUGAGAUGGAGUCUCACCCCGUCACCCAGGCUGAAGUGCAGUGGUGCAAUCUCUGCUCACUGCAACCUCCGCCUCUCAGGUUCAAGUGAUCCUCGUGCCUCAGCCUCCCGAGUAGCUGAGACUAUAGGUGUGUGCUACGAUGCCCAGCUAAUUUUUGUAUUUUUAGUAGAGACAGGAUUUGGUAGCCUGGUCUCGAACUCCUGACCUCAGGUGAUCUACCCACCUUGGCCUCCCAAAAUACUGGGAUUACAGGUGUGAGCCACCGUGCUGGCCAAGUAUAUUGACUUUAAAACGUUACCGGCUGGGCGUGGUGGUUCACGCCUGUUAUCCCAGCACUUUGGGAGCCCGAGGCGGAUGGAUUACCUGAAGUCAGGAGUUCGAGACCAGCCCAACCUGGUGAAACCCCGUCUCUACUAAAAAUACACAAAUUAGCCGGGCGUGGUGGCAGGCGCCUAUAAUCCCAACUACUGGGAAGGCUGAGGCAGGAGAAUUGCUUGAACCUGGCAGGCGGAGGCUGCAGUGAGCCAAGACUGCGCCACUGCACUCCAGCCUGGGCAACAAGAGCAAAACUCAGUCUCAAAAAAAACAGAAAAAAAAAGUUACCACGGGUGAAACAUUGGGCUGGUCACAGUGAUCCUUCUAACAGCAGUCAAUAUUAUAAAUCUAGCUUUUUUUUUUGAGUGAGAUACUAGGCCCAGGGAACCCGAGUCUUUCAAUCCUCAUGAAUAUAGUUUAAUCUUUAGCUCAUUAUGGUCAUGACCAUAGUUAAAUAAAUGACACGAGAUAAUAAAAUAGUCUUUGCCCUUAAAACUGACCUGGGUAAAAGGAUGUACACUUGAAUCUUUGAAUACCAGAAUAGUCAUUCAUUCAUUGAGCCGUGUUGUAGCAUCCCAUCUUCUGGCACUUCCAGCACUGGGAACCCAUCAUAAAGAAGGCACUACAGGCCAGGCGCUGUGGCUCACGCCUGUAAUCCCAGCACUUUGGGAGGCCAAGGCAGGCGGAUCACCUGAGGUCAGGAGUUCGAGACCAGCCUGGCCAACAUGGUGAAACCCCAUCUCUACUAAAAAUACAAAAAGUAACUGGGCAUGGUGGCAGGCGCCUGUAAUCCCAGCUACUUGGGAGGGUAAGGCCAGAGCAUCGCUUGAACCCGGAAGGCAGAGGUUGCAGUGAGCCAAGAUCCUGCCAUUGCACUCCAGCCUGGGGGAUAAGAGCGAGACUUCGUCUAAAAAAAAUAAAAAUAAAAAGGCACUACAGCACCUGUUCUCUUAGUGUAGCUCUAUUAGCUCUUAGACUAGGGGGUAGGGAUGGGAAAAAGUAAAAAGAAACUGAGAAACCAAUCUAAUUACGCAUAAUCAGAAAUCCAAAGCUUCCAGAAUUCAUGAGGAAAAAGAACUGCAGCUGAUGGAGUAGGCAUUACAGAGAAUGAGAGGCUUGCUUUUUUUUUAAGUUUCAUUUUAUUUGUAAUUGACACAAUAGCACAUAUUUACGGGAUACAGUGUGACAUUUUAAUACAUUUACAUAUUGUGUAAUGAUCAAAUUAGGAUAAUUAGCUUAUGUAUCACUUCAAAAACAUAAUUUCUUUGUGAUGAGAACAUUCAAAAUCUUCUAGUAUUUUGAAAUACAUAAUGCAAUAUUGUUAACCACAAUCACCCUACUGUGCAAUAGAACACCAGAGUUUACUCCUCUUUUCCAUCUGUAGCUUCAGACCCAUUGACCAAUCUCUCCCCUUCGCCCCCCACCACCCCCCCCCCCGCCGUCACCACUCUCCUCCCCUCCCCAGCAAGAGGCUUGAAUCUUGAAGGAGCACAUCAGAUAGAAAGAGGGAAAUCAACUGGGACAUGGUUUGUUGGAAGUGGGGUGGAAUCUGGUUUGUUUACAGUUUCAGAGUUUGAGGCAUCAAAAGUGUAUGUCAUUGCCCAAAAGUAUUUAACAGCUUUCUAUGUUUUAGGAAUUCACUAGAAAUAAGGCAUGCUUUUUAAAAAAGAAAAAAAAUAGUAAUCUUUGAAUUUAAAUAUGUGGGUUUCCAUGAAAAACAAAUGAGUACCCUUCCUUGAAAAACUACUACUUUGAAGAGUCUCGUAGGUUCUGAGGCUCGUGUGUGUGUGUGGGUGUGUGUGUAUAAAACAUUUUCUUUUAUAUUUGGUAAGAAGGAAUAAGGUAUUUUAUACUUUUCUGGUCUGUUAAAUGCAUAAUCUAUAAGACUAUAAUACUUUAAAAAAUUUUAGUUUAUCUGAGGCUUAAAAUAACAAAAGAACUUAAAGCUCCUGUGGAAGAGCUCCAAAAUUAAAACUGUAAGAUCACAUAUAGAUAAAACGUUAUAUAAAGCAGGCUUUGGGACCCCAGGCAUGAUGGCUCAUUCCUGUAAUCCCAGCACUUUGGGAGGCCAAGGUGGGUGGAUCACCUGAACCCAAAAGUUCGAGACCAGCCUGAGCAACAUGGUGAAACCCUGUCUCUACAAAAUACAGAAAAAAAAAAUAUUAACCAAUUUUUUUAACCUCCCAGCUACUUGGGAGGCUGAGAUGGGAGGAUGGCUUGAGCCUGGGGAGGUCGCGGCUGCAAUGAGUCAUGAUCGCGCCACUGCACUCCAGCCUGGGUAAUAGAUUGAAACUCUGUCUCCACACACACACACACAAAUGACUUUUGGUAAGACUGUACAUAGAGUUUAUGGCCUUAUUAAGAAACUCUUUUGAGCAACCUAAGAAAACACAAGUAUUUCUGUACAUUACUUUGUUAAAGUGUACAGGAUAAUAAGAGAGAGCUAAGAGCCUUUUCUAAAUGUGCAUCCAAUUUUAAGAGGCUAAAAUAGGAAGCUUUCAUAUAGCCAAGGCCCCAUUAACUUGGGAAUCUGGAAAACAGAAGACGUAAGUUUCUAUCAGAGUUUCUUUAAAUUUAUGUAAAUCAUAAAUUUGAGCAAGGCAGUUAUAAAAGACAUUAAAAUUAAGAUACUCAGGAUUUUAUAUGUAAUAAUAUUGAUUCCAAUAUCUUCAACACUAUGGCAUUGCCAAUGAGGAGACCAAAAUGAAUUGUAUUUUAUGAAAGGGCUAUAUUAGACCAGUGACUUAAAAGUUCCAAGUACAUAUAAUGACAAAGCGUUGUGGAAUCAUCUUGUACUACUGUUUAUGUAGUAGUUUAAAAAAAAAAAGAAAAAGAAAAUGGUGCAAUUUUAGACAGUUUAAAAAAAUUUUACAAAUACUGCAAAUCAUAGGUUGGUUACCACUAGACUUCCUGACUGCAGUGGUUGCUGUAUUCACUGUACAUUCUUUUAAAACACCAGGCACUUUAUAAUUUUGUCUAUAAUUGUUUAUAUAUUUUUUCUUCACAACAUGUUUUAGAAUAACUUAUUGCUAAGUUACUUCAACGUAUGUGCCAUCUUUAAACUUUAUAUAUGAGUAUACUAAAGUGUCAUUUGCAAGACACAUCUAUGCACUAUUUUUUUUUUCAGGAGCCUCUUUAUUCAAAAUACUUUUAAAUGCAGUGCAUAAAAAUAGCAGGCCACUUCCACUUGCAGGCUUUUGAAGCUGGAGAAGACUUGUUUUUCACAUGAGGAAACUGAGUCCCAGCAAGGUGAAAUGACUUGCUAGUAAGUGAUACGAUUAAACUUAUUUUUUGACUCCAAAGCACAUUCUGCCAACUUGAAGAUGCUUGUCCCAACUUCUGGAAAUUCACCCUAUCAACGUCUGUAUCACAACCCCAUUCUUAAUAAUAGUUUCUUCACAUUAGAAAUAAAUGUCAGAAAUAAAUGUCUACUUGUCAUUUGUACAUGUCAUGCAAACAUCUUGGCACCAGAUAUGGGUACAAGUAGAAAGCAUCAGCGUGUUCAUCUAAGAACUGGAUUUUAUCCAAUGGAAUGUUCUGUUUAUUCAUUGCUAUUCAUGCAUACCUGCUGUGUUUUAACGUUGUGAUAAAUCCAGAGAAUCAAAUAUGAAUAAAAAUACUCCCUGAAUUCAACAAAGUAGGCAUUGGCUCUGGCCAGGGGACAAAAUGUUAAAUGGCAUGCAGUCUUCACCCUGGCACAACUUGAAGCUUAUCACCUAUUGUAGAGAUGAAGCCAUAAACAGAUCAUUUCAGCACAGCAUGAUAAGGGGGAGCUCCAGGGAUCAUGGUAGUACAUGGGCCCAGUCCCUAAUUAAAUCUGGUGGAGUGUGGGCAAAGUUAAGGAAGGCUUCCUAGAGGAGAGGGCAUUGGGGUUGAUCCCUGGCAGGAACAGGGCUCCAGGCAAGGGGAACAAAGACCAGUGACAAUGGAGAACCUUGGAGUAGUCCGGUAUAGAGGAUCAUGAGGGAUGUAUGCAGAGAUGGGAGAGAGAAGAGAGCAGGCACAGGCAGAGGCAAGGCUGUGAAGGGCUUUUAUAUGCCUGGCCAACAAACUUGCAUUUCAUCUUGCAAACAGGGGGGGCCCUUAAGGUUUUAAGCAUUUACCUGACCAGGUCUGCAUUUUAAAUAUAUCACUUUGGUGGUAGCAUGGGGAAUGCAUUAGAGGCCAGCAAGAUUGGAUAUUGAGAGAUCAGUUAGGUUUCUGCAAGUGGUUGUUGGCCUGAGCUAAGAGUGGCCAGGGGAAGGAGAGAGAUCUGAAUUGAUGGAAGAUGCUCAGAUGCUAGAAAUAAAUGGACUUGAUGACUGAUUCCAUGUGAUGGCAGAGGAAAAGCAUGUCAAUGGCAUCCAGAGUGCUUAAACAAUUAAGUUGUGGUGGGAUGGGGAUGUUUUGAGUUGGAACCCGGUAAAAUUAGGUCUAGAGGGAAAAAGAUCCAUGUUCAGUGUGGGCCCAGCAGUUGGUUUUGAGGCACGACUGAAAUACCUAAGUGUUUAAAAUUCUUUCAUAUUGUUUCAUCUUUUUUCCUCUUAAAGAGCACAUUUCUUGAGAAACGCUCUCAAGAAAUGUGUCUCCUUUCAUUAUUUUUAUUUUUUGUUUUGUUUUUGUGUAGUACAGCUAUCAUGGUCCUGUGUAAAGCCAGCUGUGAGACAGACUGUUCAAUAUUUUGGGCAAUGUUUUGAAAAAGAUGGGAUUUGGGAGUAUAUGAAAGAAGGAAAGAGAAAGAAUGUUCCUAGCUCUAGUUGUCCCAUAAGCAUUUCAAUGAAUUAAGUGUAGUAAAUUUCUGUUGUGCAUAGCAAUUAGUAGAUGGAGAGGAGUGAAACAUUUCAGAGACAAAAAGCAUUUAAGAAUAUUUUUGUUUUUAGAAAUUUGAUGAGUUUGGUUACAACAUAUGCUUAAAUGAUUAGUAUCUUCAGGUUUUCAUGUAAUGUUACCUGCAUCUUAUUACUUCAAACAGACAUUCUACAAAUACAGUCAUGCACUGCUUCACGAUGGGGAUAAUUCUGAGAAAUGCUUUGUUAGGUGAUUUCAUUGUUGCAUGAACAUCAUAGAGUGCACUUACACACACCUAGAUGGCAUAGCCUACUACACACCUCGAAUUUGUGGUGUAACCUAUCACUCCUAGCCGACACAGCUGUACAGUGUGUUACUGUACUGAAUACUGUAGGCAGUUGUAAUACAAUGGUAUUUGUGUCUCUAAACAUGUCUAAAUAUAGAAAAGGUACAGUAAAAAUACGGUAUUAUAAUCUUAUGGGAUCACAUAUGCAGUUCAUUAUUGACCAAAAUGUUGCUAUGUGGCACAUGACUAUACUCACUCAGCACCUACUAAGUACUGGGUACUGGGGCAGCGUUGGCCGUAAGUGGAGACCACAGUAGCCAUAGUCCUUCCUUCACAGAGUUUAUAACCCGGCUGUGGAUUAUAAACCCUGAUAUGAUCUUCCUGUCUGCAUCUGCUUAAUAUAAUUAACAUACAUCAUGAGGACAACUUACAACUCGUAAAUCCUGCAAGAGUGAACAUGUAUACCUCCAGAAGGCACUGCCAUAUUCAGAGGUGGAAAAAGAAAGGAAGGAAGGAUUCAGUACUGCCUUGAUUUUUUGCCAGUUGUGUUGGGGCUGGUGGAAUUGUUCCUUAGAGCAGAAACAGGACCAGAUAUGGACUGUAGCUCCUGUUUAUUCCCGAGUGGCUAAGAAAUAAGGGGUUAUCACUUAUUUGCUCAAAAAGAUGAGGACCAAAAAAAUAGAGAUUGAAUAGACAAGUUUUAGAAGAAGUUGGAAACUGGUACUUCCUUGACAUUUUCAUUUUGAAAACCUUGAAACCCACUGAGAAGCUGAAGUAAUGCAGACUUAAUUGUAAAACCAAAUGGGAUAAUUUUUUCAGCAAAGCACAAUACAUUAUUUCUGUAAUUUUUUAUUUUUUUCUAAUUUUUUAUUUUAUUUAUUUAUUUUUUGAGAUAGAGUCUCGCUCUUGUUGCCCAGGUUGGAGUGCAAUGGCGUGAUCUAGGCUCACUGCAACCUCCACCUCCCGGGUUCAAGCACUUCUGCUUCAGCCUCCCAAGUAGCUGGGAUUACAGGCAUGCGCCACCAUGCACCUGGCUAGUUUCGUAUUUUUAGUAGAGAUGGGGUUUCACCAUGUUGGUCAGGCUGGUCUCAAACUCCUGACCUCGUGUGAUCCACCCUCCUUGGCCUCCCAGAGUGAGCCAUGGUGCCUGGCCUAUUUCUGUAUUUUUUCUGUGCCCAGUCUUACCUCUGUUCCUCAUUUUUAAGGGAAUGAUAGCCUUUCUCCUAUCUAGCUAGUCCUUUGCUUUCUCUUUCCCGUUUUCCUCUGGUAUCUUAACUCUUUCUAUAUCUUAAAAUUCUCCCUCUUCACUUAAUUUCUUUUCCUUACUUGCUUCCAUUCUAAAAUAUCCCCUCUAGACCUACUCUCUUUCUGUGCUCCACCGGGAGCAUUUGUGUCCUUAACUGAGCUUUUAGAAAAAAGUCAAUAGAAAGGUGUCUUUCUAUUGGUUUUCCCAUUCUCAUUUCUCAUUCAUCCCCGUGCCAUCAGGUUUUCUUUCUUUUUUUUUUUUUUUUUUUUUUGAGAUGGAGUCUCACUCUGUCGCCCAGGCUGGAAUGCAGUGGCGUGAUCUCAGCUCACUUUAACCUCUGCCUCCCGGGUUCAAGCGAUUCUCCUGCCUCAGCUUCCCGAGUAGCUGGGAUUACAGGCACCUGCCACCACGCCCUGCUAAUUUUGAUAUUUUUAAUAGAGAUGGGGUUUUGCCACAUUAGCCAGGCUCUUCUCGAACUCCUGACCUCAAGUGAUCUGCCUGCCUUGGCCUCCCAGGGUGCUAAGAUUACUGGCAUGAGCCACCACACCCAGCCUGGUUUUCUUAGUUUGCUGAAGGCCUAUUUGCCAACUCUGAUGGUUUUCAGUCCUCAUCCUGCUUGCUCUCUCUGUGCAGGGAACAGUGUCACUCGUUCCUGGGUUCCUCCUUGGCCCCUGCCUGUGUUGCUUUUGCUGGCCACCUCGUUUGGUGUAUCCCUCAAAGGUAGCUCCUCUCUGCAGCUCCACCUCCCACCUCAGUGCUCUCCUUGGCCCAAGCCUGGGUAUGGAGAGCUCAGCUGUCUACCAGGACAGCUCCUGAUUGCCCCUCCUCUGGCUCCUCUGCCCUGAGCCUGUCUCUCUCUAUACCCUCCUCCUCAUCAUGUUUUGGGUCAUGGCAUCACUCUUGCCCCAGUUACCCAAUCAGUACAUGUUCCUCUUCAUCAGGUUGGGUCAAUUCUGCCUUCUAGCCCCCUCAAAGCUCACACCUGGGUCUGUUCCACCAUCAGCGAUACUUGAACAAAGGGCUGGGGACCCAGGGUUGAGGAAUCAACGUCUCCAUACCUAGAAAGGCCACAGUCCACAGUGCAACUCCAAGUGUGCUCCAUAGACUGACAGCCCACAUAUAUUUUUUAAAAAAUAGGCUUAAUUUUUAGAGCAGUUUUUGGUUCAUAGUAAAAUUGAGCAGAAGGUACAAAAGUUUCCCACAUACCUGCUACCCCCACACAUACACAGCUUCUCUCAUCGACAUCCCACACCAGAAUGGUGCGUUUGUUACAAUUGCUGAACCUACAUUAACACAUCAUUAUCACCCAAAGUCCAUAGUUUACAUUAGGGUUCACAGUUCAUGUUGUACAUUCUAUGGGUUUGGACAAAGCUAUAAUGACAUGUUUCUACCACUAUAGUAUCAUACAGAGUCAGUUCACCACCCUAAAAAUCUUCUGGGUUCUGCCUGUUCAUCCCUCCCUCUUCCUAACACCUGGCAACAGCUGAUCUUUUCAGUAUAUCCAUAGUUUUGCCUUUCUAAGAAUUGCAUAUAAUUGGAAUCAUGUAGUAUGUAGCCUUUUAACACUGGCUUCUUUCACUUAGUCAUAUGUAUUUGUUACCUCCAUAUCAUUUCAUGACUUCAUAACUCAUUUUUUUUAGCACUGAAUAAUAUUCCAUCAUCUGGAUAUACCACAGUUUUUUUUACCCAUUCACCUACUAAAGAACAUGGUUGCCUCCAUGUUCUGGCAAUUAUGAAUGAAGCUAUUGUAAACCUGUGUGCAGGUUCUUGGGUCGACAUAAAUUUUCACCUCCUUUGGGUAAAUACCGAAGAAUGUGAUAAUGUGAUUGCUAGAUCAAACAUUAAAAUUAUGCUUAGGUUUGUUAGAAGCUGCCAAACUUUCAUAGUGACUGGACCAUUUUGCAUUUCCACCAGCAAUGAAUGAGAGUUACUGUUUCUUCACAUCCAUGUCAGCGUUUGGUGUUGUCAGUGUUCUGGCUUUUGGCUAUUUUAAUAGGUGUGUAGUGGCCUCUCAUUUGCAUUUCCCUAAGGACAUAUAAUGGGGAGCAUUAUAUGCCUAUUUGCCAUUUGUAUUUCUUCUUUUUGAAAAAUUAAUUUUGAUAAGAAAUACUUAACAUAAGAUCUAACCUCUUAACAAAUGUUAAAGUGUACAAUGUACACAGUUAACACUCUGUUGUUAACUAUAGAGACAAUGCUGUACAUUGGAUCUCCAGAUCCACAUCUUGCAUAAUUGAGACUUUAUGUGUGAUGAUUGAGCAGCUUCCCAUUCCCCCAUCCCGAUUCCCUGGCAAGCAUAAUUCUGCUCUCUGAUUUGAUGAGUUUACUAUUCUGGGUACCUCAUAUAAGUGGAGUCAUGUAGUAUUUGUCUUUCCAUGACUGGCUUAUUUCACUUAGCAUAAUGACCUCAAGGUUCAUCCAUGUUGUAGCACGUGUCGGAAUGUCCUUCUUUUUUCAGGCUAAAUAAUAUCCCACUGUAUGUAUAUGCCACCAUUUAAAUAAUCCAUUCAUCUGCCAAAGAACAUCAGGUUGUUGUCGCCACUUCUUGACUACUGUGAGUAGUGCUGCAGUGAGCAUUGGAGUGCUAAUAUCUGUUUGAGAUCCUGAUUUCAAUGGUUUUAGAUUGGAUUGCUGCAUCAUACAGUAUUUUUAUUUUUAAUUUUCUGAGAAAUUUUUAUACUGUUUUCCAUAGUGGCUGCAUCAUUUUGUAUUCUCAUCAAUAGUACAAGGUUUCCCAUUUCUCCACAUCCUUACCAACAUGCUUUUUUAUUUUUUUUUUGAUAAUAGCCAUUAUCUAAACAGGUGUGAGGUAGUAUCUCAUGGUUUUGACUUGCACUUCUCUGAUGAUUAGUGUGAUGUUGAGUAUUUUUCAUAUACAUGUUGGCCAUUUUUGUCUUCUUUGAAGAAAUGUCUAUUCGAGUCCAGGCCCAUUUUUACGUUGGAUUAUUAGUGUUUUUGCUAUUGAGUUGCAGGAGUUUAUUUAAUUUCUGAAAUUAGAUAUUACCACAUAGGCUGGGCGUGGUGGCUCACACCUGUAAUCCCAGCAAUUUGGGAGGCUGAGGUGGGAGGAUCACUUGAGGUCAGGAGUUCAAGACCAGCCUGGCCAAAAUGGUGAAACCCCAUCUCUACUAAAAAUACAAAAAAAUUAGCUGGGCAUGGUGCUGCACGGCUGUGGUCCCAGCUACUGAAGAGGCUGAGGCAGAAGAAUCGCUUGAACCUGGGAGGUGGAGGUUGCAGUGAGCCGAGUUCAUGCCACUGCACUCCAGCCUAGGCAACAGAGCAAGACUCCGUUUCACAAAAAAAAAAAAAAAAAAAAAAAAAAUGACCAUAUAUGUGUGGGAUGAUUUUCCAUCCAUAUUAUAUCUUCUUUGGUGAGAUGUCUGUUAAGGCAUUUGGCACACCCCCACUUUUUUUUUGAGAGAGGGUCUCACUCUGUCACCAAAGCUGGAAUGCAGUGGUGUGAUCACUGCUUACUGCAGCCUCUACUUUCCAGACUCAAGCAAUCCUCUGCCUCAGCCUCCUGAGUAGCUGGGACCACGGGUGCGUGCCAUCACACCUGGAUAAUUUAAUUUCUGAAAUUAAAUAAUAAAUCUUUAAUUUCUGAAAUUAACUUCUUAUCUGACAUAUGGUUUGCAAAUAUUCCCUCCCAUUCCUUAGGUUGCUUUUUCACUCUGUUGAUUGUUUCCUUUGCUGUGGAAAAGCUUCUUAGUUUGAUGGACUCCCACUUGUCUAUUUUUGUUUUUGCUGCCUGUGCUUUUGGUGUUAUAUCCAUGAAGUCAUUGCCAAGACCAAUGUCUUGAUACUUUUCUACUAUGUUUUCUUCUAGCAGUUUUACAUUUUCAGGUCUUACAUUUAAGUCUUUAAUCAAUUUCAAUUAAUUUUUGUUUAUGGUAUAAGGGUCCAGUUUCAUUCUAUUGCAUGUGGAUAUCCAGUUUUCCCAAUACCAUUUGUUGAAGAGACUGCCUUUUCCCUAUUGCGUAUACUUGGCGCCCUUGUCGAAGAUCAGUCGACCAUAUAUUUGUGGGAUGAUUUUCCAUCUGUAUGUCUUCUUUGGUGAGAUGUCUGUUAAGGCAUUUAGCCUCCCCCCCAACAUCUUUUUUUUUUUUUUUUUUUUUUGAGACAGGGUCUGACUGUCAGCAAAGCUAAAAGUGCAGUGGUACAAUCACUGCUUACUGCAGCCUCUACCUCCCGGGCUCAAGCAACCCGUUUCCUCAGCCUCCAGAGUAGCUAGAACCACAGGCACACACCACCAUGCCUGGUUAAAUUUUUUAAAUUUGUUUGUAGAGAUGGGAUUUCCCCAUGUUCCCAGACCGAUCUCGAACACCUGGCUUCAAGUAAUCCUCCUGCCUCAGCCUCCCAAUCUGCUGGGAUUACAAGCAUGGGCCACCAUACACAACUUGGCCCAUUUUUAAAAUCAGGUUGCUUGUUUUCCUAUUUUUAAGUUUAAGAGUUCUUUGUGUAUUUUGUAUAACAGUCCUUUAUCAGAUAUAUCUUUUCCAAAUAUUUUUUCUCAGUCCCUGG
rnacentral:lncRNA from 1 species